rnacentral:rRNA from 1 species
UACGUAGGGCGCAAGCGUUGUCCGGAAUUAUUGGGCGUAAAGAGCUCGUAGGCGGCUUGUCGCGUCUGCUGUGAAAGCCCGGGGCUCAACCCCGGGUCUGCAGUGGGUACGGGCAGACUAGAGUGCGGUAGGGGAGAUUGGAAUUCCUGGUGUAGCGGUGAAAUGCGCAGAUAUCAGGAGGAACACCGGUGGCGAAGGCGGGUCUCUGGGCCGAUACUGACGCUGAGGAGCGAAAGCGUGGGGAGCGAACAGG